GUAGUUAGUGCAAGAAAUGCAAGGGUGUUAAUUGUUUUGUUUGAUGUUUUAUUCGAGAUACUUCCACUAGGUGGCAGUGGCUAUUAGAUAUUGGGCAUCUAUUGCACUGUGUUUUUAGGAUAUGCUGCGUAAAACGGGCAUAUUUCAUAUGCACAGAAAUGUGGAGUUGUUCCCUUGCCUCCAGCCACUGGCAGUCAGUACUGUUCGGUACUCCUCACUGUCGCGCCAAAUAAAAGGUGCCCUGCAUUAAUUUAAUUGUGACGUUAUUGGCCCCUGAAAGGAUACAUUAGCUUACACGUGAAUGUCAACGAGGUAAAGGGAUAAGGAGAAGAAUAUGAGGAAAUAAUCGCGCUGGUUGAAGAGCUUUUAAGAGACUGCAACCAAAAGAUCUCCGGGAGUGGAGUCGACGUGGAUAGGCUAUUUGAACAGAAUACCGUCAAGGUAUCUUUACUUUGACCGAAGUAGGACAGUUGAGUCGUUUUCCCACCAGCAGAUGGAGAUGAUCUGGAUAGGACUGUGUCUUCAGCUUCUCCUCUGCCAGACAUGGGCCCUGUCUUCAUAUCAUCACUUAGACCACAUGCUCAAUGCUCAAACAGCCCUCAGGUCCUUGGAUGAGCCAAUGAGGUUUGACCCCUGCUGUCUCCUGGCCCCUCCCCCACCCCCACUCUUCCCUCCACCUCCCCUGAGGCGAGGGAC